CUUUUUUUUCUUCUUUCAUUUGCCUUGAAUACCUCCCCAUCUCUCCUUUUACUCCUACUCUGUAUGUUUCACACAGAGGAUGGACAAACUCUUUUCUAGAGCUGAGCCCACACUUCCAGGGCUGCCUUGCUCUAAGCCAGGCCUCUCCUGUACAUGCAGGGGACAUUCAGGAAUGUCUGCAGGAUUCCUGAAGUGCAAUACAACCUCCUACUUCUCUCAUGUGCACAACUCCCUUCCAUGGAGAUAUCUGUACAAACAAAAAUCUCUGCCAGGAAUGUCCUGUGGGAUUAGAGCCUUGCCCACACUCACAGGAAAAGCUCUCAGGAGAACAGCUACUACUUAGUGACAGCUUCAUUGUAAUAGGAAUGAGCCUCUUCAUGAAAAUGGAAAUUACAGUUUCAUGAUGACAAUGAAAAUAAAGAGUUUGUUUCAAUUUCUACACUGAACAGCACCCUAGGAGUGCCCUGACCUGAGAAAGACAAAUUCAGAGAACAAUGUGUCUUUGCUGCCGUGAAACACAGGGGACAACAGAAAACCACAGGCAGGAAGAGGAAAGCUCUUGCCAUCACCUCCAAGCUCCUGCUGGGCACUGGGCAUUUAAGCUGAAAUGGCCUCUUUUCCCAAAGAGAAUUUAUUAGAAUUAAUCAAUAGGCAGCUGGGGAUCAAAUCUUCAAAACCAGGCAGCACCCAGCAGCUCUCACCACGGCCUGAACGUCCACUUCAGCAGAUGUUCAAGCAACUGGAACAAUUUGGGGAAUGGAGAUUGACCCCUUUUGCAGACAAAAGACAAAAUGAUUUGUAUAAGCAUAAUUUUUGUUCUCCCCCUACCAUUAUACUCUGGAGAAAGAGCAUUCAUGGUUCCUGGGCACUAA